rnacentral:rRNA from 1 species
UAAACGACUCUCGGCAACGGAUAUCUCGGCUCUCGCAUCGAUGAAGAACGUAGCGAAAUGCGAUACUUGGUGUGAAUUGCAGAAUCCCGCGAACCAUCGAGUCUUUGAACGCAAGUUGCGCCCGAAGCCAUUAGGCUGAGGGCACGUCUGCCUGGGCGUCUCGC